rnacentral:rRNA from 1 species
GAUCAUGGCUCAGGAUGAACGCUAGCUACAGGCUUAACACAUGCAAGUCGAGGGGCAGCAUGGUCUUAGCUUGCUAAGGCCGAUGGCGACCGGCGCACGGGUGAGUAACACGUAUCCAACCUGCCGUCCACUCUUGGACAGCCUUCUGAAAGGAAGAUUAAUACAAGAUGGCAUCAUGAGUCCGCGUGUUCACAUGAUUAAAGGUAUUCCGGUAGACGAUGGGGA